GACAGAGGGUGCAAACGUUGUUCGGAAUUACUGGGCGUAAAGCGCGUGUAGGCGGCUAUGUAAGUCGGGCGUGAAAUCCCACGGCUCAACCGUGGAAGUGCACCCGAAACUGCGUAGCUAGAGUCCUGGAGAGGAAGGUGGAAUGCUUGGUGUAGAGGUGAAAUUCGUAGAUAUCAGGAGGAACACCGGUGGCGAAGGCGGCCAUCUGGACGACAACUGACGCUGAGAUGCGAAAGCGUGGGGAGCAAACAGG
rnacentral:rRNA from 1 species